CAUAAUCAACAUCUGUGAGUAAAUGAAUUAAUUAAGAGAAUGAAAUGAUCAAAUUAACAAAAAUAUUGCUUGGAUCAUAUGUGCUUGGAAAAAGUGUGAUUUCAACUGCUGCUAAUUCAGUAAGCAAUGCAUUCAAUCAUCUUUUAGAACAAGAUGUAUUUAUGAUGCAAAAUAACAAAAUAAAACUAAUUAUAGGAAUAUAAUCAUAAAACUAGUUAUUCAUAGAAAUAGUAUUUUAUUACAAGGUAUUUGCCACUAUUUAGAAAAGAGAUAUAACAAAAAAAUUUAAUGAUAAGUGAAAAUUUCUUACCACAUCUCUUACAUAC
rnacentral:misc_RNA from 1 species